GCCUGGGUGGCCCAGCGGUUGGGCACCUGCCUUUGGCUCAGGUCACGAUCCCGGGAUCCAGGAUCAAGUCCUGCAUCAGGCU
rfam:Canis lupus familiaris chromosome 16, whole genome shotgun sequence.